UUUUCAUUUUCAGAGACCGGAAGUGGUCAUCAGCAAGUGUGGAGCCAGUAAGAUUGUCAGAGGGCGGAGCCAGAGAGCAGCGAUUGGUCAGACCAUAGAUAAUAUAGAAGACAGCGCGCUAGCGUAUCUAGUCUUCUAUAUAUCUAUGGUCGACACGUCUGGUAGCAUCUCUGCCUGCUGUUGACCUUGUUUUUGGAGUAAAACACGGUGGAAGCUGAAUUAGUGAGGAUGACUCCUGCUCCUGUCAUCUCUAAGCUCCUCACACAUCUUUACCUGCACAUGAGGAAAAUCACUCCUGUAGAAUGCAGUGGUUCAUCAGAACCUCUGGGGAUGUCCUGUGGAUCCUGUGGGUUGCAGGGUGGGUCCUACCUAGACCAGGCUGAUCCUGGACCAUCCCACAGAUGCUCAAUCAGAUCUGGAUUUGGGGAGUGUGGAACCCAGGUGAACAGCUUAGCUCUGUCGUGUUCCUCAGACCACUCCUGAAUAGUUUUAAUUUGUCCUGCUGAGGGAGGCAGCUGGCAUCAAGGACUGCUGUUGCCAUGGAGACUAGGGGGUUGUUUGUCCUGCAGUGUUUAGGUGGUGGUACAUGUCAAACAUCCACAUGAACGUCAAGGUUUCCCAGCAGAACGUUGCAUUAGAACAAGAUGAUGGAUGUUGUUCUCUUCAGCUGUCAGUGGUCAGAAUGUUGUGGCUGAUCGGUGGAUCUGUCUGCCUUUACUCUGACAUCCAGAGUUAUACAAAAGUGUAGUAUGUGUGCAGUGCAGAAGAGAUUUACUUUAUUGUAUGCAGUUUUUUUGU